UACGUAGGGCGCAAGCGUUGUCCGGAAUUAUUGGGCGUAAAGAGCUCGUAGGCGGUUUGUCGCGUCUGCUGUGAAAACCUAAGGCUCAACCUUGGGCUUGCAGUGGGUACGGGCAGACUAGAGUGCGGUAGGGGUGACUGGAAUUCCUGGUGUAGCGGUGAAAUGCGCAGAUAUCAGGAGGAACACCGAUGGCGAAGGCAGGUCUCUGGGCCGAUACUGACGCUGAGGAGCGAAAGCGUGGGGAGCGAACAGG
rnacentral:rRNA from 1 species